rnacentral:rRNA from 1 species
CAGGGGGUGCAAACGUUGCUCGGAAUUAUUGGGCGUAAAGCGCGCGUAGGCGGCUACCUAAGUCGGAUGUGAAAGCCCCUGGCUUAACUGGGGAAGUGCACCCGAAACUGAGUAGCUAGAGUGCGAAAGAGGGUCGCGGAAUUCCCGGUGUAGAGGUGAAAUUCGUAGAUAUCAGGAGGAAUACCGGUGGCGAAGGCGGCAUCCUGGACCGGCAUUGACGCUGAGGCGCGAAAGCCAGGGGAGCAAACGGG